GAUGAACGCUAGCGGGAGGCCUAACACAUGCAAGCCGAGCGGUAUUGUUUCUUCGGAAAUGAGAGAGCGGCGUACGGGUGCGUAACACGUGUGCAACCUGCCUUUAUCUGGGGGAUAGCCUUUCGAAAGGAAGAUUAAUACUCCAUAAUAUAUUGAACGGCAUCGUUUAAUAUUGAAAGCUCCGGCGGAUAGAGAUGGGCACGCGCAAGAUUAGCUAGUUGGUGAGGUAACGGCUCACCAAGGCGAUGAUCUUUAGGGGGCCUGAGAGGGUGAUCCCCCACACUGGUACUGAGACACGGACCAGACUCCUACGGGAGGCAGCAGUGAGGAAUAUUGGUCAAUGGGUGCAAGCCUGAACCAGCCAUCCCGCGUGAAGGACGACUGCCCUAUGGGUUGUAAACUUCUUUUGUAUAGGGAUAAGCCUACCCUCGUGAGGGUAGCUGAAGGUACUAUACGAAUAAGCACCGGCUAACUCCGUG
rnacentral:rRNA from 1 species